rnacentral:rRNA from 1 species
UUAAGUUUGAUCCUGGCUCAGACGAACGCUGGCGGCGUGCCUAAUACAUGCAAGUCGAACGAGAGCGACCGGUGCUUGCACUGGUCAAUCUAGUGGCGAACGGGUGAGUAACACGUGGGUAACCUGCCCAUCAGAGGGGGAUAACAUCCGGAAACGGAUGCUAAAACCGCAUAGGUCUUCGAACCGCAUGGUUUGAAGAGGAAAAGAGGCGCAAGCUUCUGCUGAUGGAUGGACCCGCGGUGCAUUAGCUAGUUGGUGAGGUAACGGCUCACCAAGGCCGUGAUGCAUAGCCGACCUGAGAGGGUGAUCGGCCACAUUGGGACUGAGACACGGCCCAAACUCCUACGGGAGGCAGCAGUAGGGAAUCUUCCGCAAUGGACGCAAGUCUGACGGAGCAACGCCGCGUGAGUGAAGAAGGUUUUCGGAUCGUAAAACUCUGUUGUUAGAGAAGAACAAGUGCUAGAGUAACUGUUAGCGCCUUGACGGUAUCUAACCAGAAAGCCACGGCUAACUACGUGCCAGCAGCCGCGGUAAUACGUAGGUGGCAAGCGUUGUCCGGAUUUAUUGGGCGUAAAGCGAGCGCAGGCGGUUCCUUAAGUCUGAUGUGAAAGCCCCCGGCUCAACCGGGGAGGGUCAUUGGAAACUGGGGAACUUGAGUGCAGAAGAGGAGAGUGGAAUUCCAUGUGUAGCGGUGAAAUGCGUAGAUAUAUGGAGGAACACCAGUGGCGAAGGCGACUCUCUGGUCUGUAACUGACGCUGAGGCUCGAAAGCGUGGGUAGCAAACAGGAUUAGAUAC